rnacentral:tRNA from 1 species
UUAAUUAAAGCUAAUUAUUUAGCAAUUUAUUGUUAAUAAAUUAUUUAGAUAUUAUUUUAUUCUAACUAAA